rnacentral:snoRNA from 1 species
UGGCGAUGAUAGAUGAGACACUAACUUCGCGGUUUCCACUCGAGAUGCGUCCAUGUGGGAUUAUUUCCUUGGAUGUCUGAGCCA